UUUCUGGAGCGGAGGUGAGCUGGUAGGGGAGCUGUGAAUCUGGAGGAUGAACAUCACUCUACCAACAAGGAUUACCCAGUCUCUGGCUGAAGAGAGCUGAUGGAGGAGCCAAGACUCUGGAGGACGACAUCACUCUACCAACAAGGAUCCUUGUAAGAUUGCAUAAAAGACAAAUUACGUUUGUAACCAGACAAGGAAUCUGGAGGACUGACGGAGAAGCCGUACAUCUGGAAGGCAAAUCCUGAGGACGACCAGGACUCUACCAUCAAGGAUUCCUCACACACCUGAGCUGAACCUCACCUGAUCCUGCGUGGUCGGGGGCAGACAAACCUGAGCUGAACCCGCCCUGAUCCGGAUAUCCUGCUGGUCCCGUCUCCUCAGUUCAUCUGAGCCUCGUCCUCCAGAAGACCUGCUGAGCUCAGCGGUCUGAGGCUGAUGGAUCAAUGACCUCCAGUGGGAGUGAUCUUCUUGACCCCACAUACCAGGAAUCCAUGGCUGAAGGAGCUGAUGGAGGAGCCGUGCUGAAGGAGCUGGUGGAGGAGCUGAUGGAGGCCCAGCCUGGUGGAGGAGCUGAUGGAGGCCCUGCCUUGUGGAGGAGCCGUGCUGAAGGCCCUGCCUGAUGGAG